GUCCCGGUGGCCGAGUGGUUAAGGCGUUGCCCUGCUAAUUUGUUAGCUGUCAGGCAGUGGGUUUUGCCCGCGCAGGUUCGAAUCCUGUCCGUGACG
rfam:Yarrowia lipolytica strain CLIB122 chromosome D complete sequence.